GACGAACGCUGGCGGCGUGCCUAACACAUGCAAGUGGAGCGACGAACCAGACUUCGGUCUGGGGCCAAGCCGCGAACGGGUGAGUAACACGUGGGUAACCUGCCCCGAUGAUCGGGACAACCCGGGGAAACCCGGGCUAAUACCGACUGUGGUCGCGGUCCGCGAGGACUGUGACGAAAGGAAGCUCCGGCCUCCGCAUCGGGAGGGGCCCGCGGCCCACUAGCUUGUUGGUGGGGUAAUGGCCUACCAAGGCAUCGAUGGGUAGCUGGUCUGAGAGGACGAUCAGCCACACUGGGACUGAGACACGGCCCAGACUCCUACGGGAGGCAGCAGUGGGGAAUCUUGCGCAAUGCGCGAAAGCGUGACGCAGCAACGCCGCGUGGGGGAAGAAGGCUUUCGGGUCGUAAACCCCUUUCAGUUGGGACGAAGCUUCGCCGGUGAAUAGCCGGCCGGAGUGACGGUACCUUCACAAGAAGCCCCGGCUAACUACGUGCCAGCCGCCGCAGUAAAAC
rnacentral:rRNA from 1 species